CAACCAAACAAAAAAGAAUAAGAUGGGACAAAGAGAGAUGCACAUGCCAGUAUUGAUUUCUUACAAAAUAGUUGAAGAGUAGAUUUAAUUUAACUAAAUGAUAUUAGUAAUAUUGACAGAGGACUCAUAGCACCAACAGUAACACAGCUUCUCAGGGCUCCAUGGCCGAUCCCAUCCAGGGAUCUGAGGUCCUUCUUCUGCCUUAGGGAGAGCAGGGCCAAGGUGGAGACAUUCGAGUUGCAUGAGUCUCUCCUUGCUGUUCUGAGGAUUUUGUGAGCCUAUUACGUUAUUCUAACGAAGAAGGUGGAGUGGAUGAUGCUCUCUGUCCUCCCCAGAUCUCUCUGGAAAUACAGUUGCAUCAUGGAUCUUUCAGGCUGAAUCCCAGCUAAGGAAGAUCACAUAAAUUAAGGGAAGGCAGAAGUUGAGUGAGCCUGAGCACAAAGAAGAACUCUGCUGCCCCAUGGAAUCGGAACCUCUAAGGCAUAGGUUGGCUCCAGCUUCAGCAGUGGAUGGACCCAGUGUGGAAACGGUUUCUGAUCUGCGUUCCUCUCCGGACCCUGUCUUGCUCCACCACAAGCUCCCUCUACAGGGCGUCUCAAAGUCCACCCACAGUCCCAUAUUCACACUUAGCCGGUCACAGCUCCAAAGGUACAAGAGCGGCCCCCAGGAACUUCCUUGUGGGAAAAUUGCAAGGAAAAGCAAGGAAAAUAGGGGAGGGGGGUCAUCUUGUCAAAAGCCUUCGCUUUCUCAGGACAGCUAAAAUCUCAAGACCAGGAGAGGUGAGGCUGG
rnacentral:lncRNA from 1 species